GGUGUUAUUAGGGAUACAGACAUCUAGUACACUGAGAAGAGACAGACAGGUGUUAUUAGGGAUACAGACGAGCCAUCACCUGGGAGGAGACAGAGAGACAGACAGGUGUUAUUAGGGAUACAGACAUCUAGUACACUGAGAAGAGACAGACAGGUGUUAUUAGGGAUACAGACGAGCCAUCACCUGGGAGGAGACAGAGAGACAGACAGGUGUUAUUAGGGAUACAGACAUCUAGUACACUGAGAAGAGACAGACAGGUGUUAUUAGGGAUACAGACGAGCCAUCACCUGGGAGGAGACAGAGAGACAGACAGGUGUUAUUAGGGAUACAGACAUCUAGUACACUGAGAAGAGACAGACAGGUGUUAUUAGGGAUACAGACGAGCCAUCACCUGGGAGGAGACAGAGAGACAGACAGGUGUUAUUAGGGAUACAGACAUCUAGUACACUGAGAAGAGACAGACAGGUGUUAUUAGGGAUACAGACGAGCCAUCACCUGGGAGGAGACAGAGAGACAGACAGGUGUUAUUAGGGAUACAGACAUCUAGUACACUGAGAAGAGACAGACAGGUGUUAUUAGGGAUACAGACGAGCCAUCACCUGGGAGGAGACAGAGAGACAGACAGGUGUUAUUAGGGAUACAGACAUCUAGUACACUGAGAAGAGACAGACAGGUGUUAUUAGGGAUACAGACGAGCCAUCACCUGGGAGGAGACAGAGAGACAGACAGGUGUUAUUAGGGAUACAGACAUCUAGUACACUGAGAAGAGGCAGACAGGUGUUAUUAGGGAUACAGACGAGCCAUCACCUGGGAGGAGACAGAGAGACAGACAGGUGUUAUUAGGGAUACAGACAUCUAGUACACUGAGAAGAGACAGACAGGUGUUAUUAGGGAUACAGACGAGCCAUCACCUGGGAGGAGACAGAGAGACAGACAGGUGUUAUUAGGGAUACAGACAUCUAGUACACUGAGAAGAGACAGACAGGUGUUAUUAGGGAUACAGACGAGCCAUCACCUGGGAGGAGACAGAGAGACAGACAGGUGUUAUUAGGGAUACAGACGAGCCAUCACCUGGGAGGAGACAGAGAGACAGACAGGUGUUAUUAGGGAUACAGACGAGCCAUCACCUGGGAGGAGACAGAGAGACAGACAGGUGUUAUUAGGGAUACAGACAUCUAGUACACUGAGAAGAGACAGACAGGUGUUAUUAGGGAUACAGACACUAUAUAGG